UGCAUCAGUUCACCACUCUUAGUGCCCGGAUCUUGACAGAAGGCCCUCAGCUGUGUGGGGGAGGUCAAAGAUGCCUUGUAGUACUGCCAGGGCUCAAGGAGGCUGCCUUGUUUCACGCUUGUCAUCUGCCAGGUCCUGUUCUGUUCGAGGGUGUUGUCAUGAAGCCCUUCUUCUGGAAAAGCUCCUUCACAACAGAGCAGAAAGUUGAUGGUUUUGCUACAAACAUUUGGAGUACUUGUCUACAUUAAAUGGUAAGU